rnacentral:snRNA from 1 species
UCGCAGAUCUACCAAACUUCUGCA